rnacentral:rRNA from 1 species
UGAACUCUGGUCUCAAAUCAGG